rnacentral:snRNA from 1 species
AUCGCUUCUCAGCCUUUUGGCUAAUAUCAAGUGUAGUAUCUGUGCUUAUCAAUUUAAUAUCUGAUAUUCCCUCUCUCUGAGGACAGCAUAUUAAAUCUGACACCGCCAGGCCCAUGGAUAACCCACUACUAUUAUGGACUACUG